UACGGAGGGUGCGAGCGUUGUCCGGAAUCACUGGGCGUAAAGGGCGCGUAGGCGGCGCGGGAAGUCCGUGGUGAAAGCCCGAGGCUCAACUUCGGGUCGGCCAUGGAUACUCCUGGGCUCGAGCACUGUAGAGGCAGGUGGAAUUCCGGGUGUAGCGGUGGAAUGCGUAGAGAUUCGGAAGAACACCGGUGGCGAAGGCGGCCUGCUGGGCAGUGACCGUAAGGUCUUAAAAGCUGACGCUGAGGCGCGACAGCGUGGGGAGCAAACAGG
rnacentral:rRNA from 1 species